rnacentral:lncRNA from 1 species
GUUUUUCCUACUCCUCAGAGGAGCUCUUGUCACAUACCUAAUUAGUUUCAAGGGCAUAUGAUAAUUUUAUGGGUUUCCACUGUUACAAUUUCGUAUUGUGUGCGUCUUUGAAAUCACUUAGCAGAAUAAUUAGUAAGUUAAAUGUGAUAAUUUUUGCAAACUUAUUGCAUACUUUUGACGAAAAAAGGCUACAUAGAUUGUUUUCACUCUGAGCGGAAAAAGAAUUGUUAGAAGCGUUGAAAUUUGGAAGAUAAAAAUGUUCCAUGCAGCUACUCAGCCCAUAUCAAGAAUUUUUGCCUUCACUAUUAAAAGAUAUAACAGUUGUAAAUAGAUAUUUAUACUAUAAGAAAAAUGUAUACAUGUCCUAAAUGAGCUAUCCGAAGUCAUCCCUGUACAACUGCGACCUUACCUUAAAAAAGGCUCUUUAUUUAACGCAAUUUUAGUUGAACUUCAAUGGUAACAAUUUGAGACGAAAGGAAAAUACUUUUAAUGAUUUAAAAUGUAUUUUCGUUUGAGCUGCAGAUAGAAGAUACGAAACGAUCUGAAAUGUCCCUUGACUAGCCCCCAUAACCGUAAUUUGACGUUCCCGUCAUGAUAAUCUUAACCGAACAUGAUGUUUUGGGAAUAUUUUUGUAUAAUAUUAACUUCAUAAAAUGGUAUGAUCCAUAUCGAUUAAACUACCAGUUUGAUAUGCAUCAAAGUUUACGCAUAUUCAAUACAUAUUUAUGAUAAUAAAUAUUUUUUUU